CCCUUAGAUGUUCUGGGCCGCACGCGCGCUACACUGAUGCAUUCAACGAGCCUAUCCUUGACCGACAGGUCCGGGUAAUCUUUGAAUCUGCAUCGUGACGGGGAUAGAUUAUUGCAAUUAUUAUUCUUCAACGAGGAAUGCCUAGUAGGCGCAAGUCAUCAGCUUGCGUCGAUUACGUCCCUGCCCUUUGUACACACCGCCCGUCGCUCCUACCGAUUGGGUGUGCUGGUGAAAUGUUCGGAUCGGCCGUUUGUCGCGGUUUCCGCGUCAUGUGGCUGAGAAGUUCAUUAAACCCUCCCACCUAGAGGAAGGAGAAGUCGUAACA
rnacentral:rRNA from 1 species